CUCGAAUCUAAAAGAGCUAAUGACACAUUUUAUUAACGUUUUAUAGUUACUUUAAAUAUGUCAUUAGAAAUGAAAUGUUAUUCGUUUUUAGAUAUAUCUAGUUUUUCAAGAAAUGAAUUUAAUUUAAUUUUUAGUUUAAAACUAAUCGAUUUGAUGGUUAGUUUUAAUUAAAAGGGAAUUUUGCCAGGGAUAAGCUUGGCCGAAUAUUUUUAUUUAUCAUUUUAAUAAAUGUAAGCUCAUAGGAAUAAAAAUUUCCAUUAUUUAUAGUGUGUUAUAAUUAUUUUAUAAAUUCUUAUUAUUUUUAUUGAUAAUAAAUUAUUUAUUGGAAUAUUUUUGUUAAUUAAAUGUAUUAAGAAAUUAUGGUAGAAUUAGUAUAUAAUUUUGUAACUUUAAAUUUGUUUGAAAGAAGUUUAAAAGGAACUCGGCAAAUUUAUUUUCCACCUGUUUAUUAAAAACAUGGCCUUUUGAAUUUAAUUUAAGGUCUGACCUGCCCAAUGAGGAUUAAAUGGCCGCGGUAUUUUGACCGUGCUAAGGUAGCAUAAUCAUUAGUUUCUUAAUUAGAAACUGGAAUGAAAGGUUUAAUGAGAAAAUAGCUGUCUCUUGAAUUUUAAUAGAAUUUUAUUUUUAAGUAAAAAAGCUUAAAUUUUAUUGUAAGACGAGAAGACCCUGUAGAGUUUAAUAAAUCAAUUUUGUUAAUUAUUUUUGUGAUUUAAGUCGAUAAAUGAAGUUAUUUAUUUAGUUGGGGUGAUUGAGAAAUUUAAUUAACUUUUUUUUAUCUUUACAUUAAUUAAUGAUUUUUUGAUCCAAUUUUUUUGAUUAUAAGAUAAAAUUACCUCAGGGAUAACAGCGUAAUCUUUUUUUAGAGUUCUAAUCGAUAAAAGGGGUUGCGACCUCGAUGUUGGAUUAAAAUUUACUUUUGGUGCAGAAGCUUAAAGGUUAGGUCUGUUCGACCUUUAAAAUUUUACAUGAUCUGAGUUUAAACCGGCGUGAGCCAGGUUGGUUUCUAUCUUCAAUUUUUUUAUAGUUCUUAGUACGAAAGGACCAGAA
rnacentral:rRNA from 1 species